AUAUAUAUACACUACUACCUUUUUCUUUUAAGUUUUUAAAUGUUCUGAUUUUCUAAUAAACUAUGUAACAACAGUUGACAUCUGUAGCAGUGAAUGUUUUUUUUUUCUCUGUUUAU
rnacentral:sRNA from 1 species